rnacentral:rRNA from 1 species
UACGUAGGGUGCAAGCGUUAAUCGGAAUUACUGGGCGUAAAGCGUGCGCAGGCGGCUAUGCAAGACAGAUGUGAAAUCCCCGGGCUCAACCUGGGAACUGCAUUUGUGACUGCAUGGCUAGAGUACGGUAGAGGGGGAUGGAAUUCCGCGUGUAGCAGUGAAAUGCGUAGAUAUGCGGAGGAACACCGAUGGCGAAGGCAAUCCCCUGGACCUGUACUGACGCUCAUGCACGAAAGCGUGGGGAGCAAACAAG